rnacentral:tRNA from 1 species
GGUUGAGUAGCUUAUAGUGUAAAGCAUGACUCUGAAGAUGUUAAGAAGAGAUAUAUCCUCAUACC